rnacentral:lncRNA from 1 species
GUGAGAUAGGAAUGUGGACACUGAGAUCACAUAACUAGUAGCAAGGAAGCCAGAACUUAACCAUGGAUCUUUCCAAUUCAAACUUUGCAUCCUAAUUAAAUAAGGCAUCCUCUCAAAUUGACAAUUGCCAAAUGUUCUGGAUGAGAACCCAGAAUUGCAUAAUAGAAGUUCACAAGGCUUUAGACAUCAACUCCUUCAACUCUCUAAUUUUUCAUAUGAAGAAACUGAGGCCCGGAGAGGUGAAGGGACUUACUGAAGAUUGUAAAAGUAGUUGAUGGUAGGACUAAUGUCCAGGGCUCAACUUCAAGGCAAAUUAUCUCUCUGCUACAUUCAAGACAAUUUAAUUUGAAGUUAGCCAACACAAUUUAAGAGAUUGUUGACUCCCUCAGUGAAUUAUAUAUAUUAUGCCCCCAAAAUAUUGUCAAAAUGAGGAAAGAGUCUUAGUUCUUAGUAAUAUUGUCAAUUGAGUACUUAACAUAUUAUCACUAGAAAUGUAGGAGUGAUUCAGAUUCAGAUUGCCAGUACAGUUUGAGACACCCUGCUUUUCGUACUUAAUCACCAUGAAAAUAUAAUAAUUAUAC